GAAAAACAGAGGGGGGCCUCAAUUUUCUUUCUCAACCCCCUCCCCCUUUUCUCAAAUGGCCGACGGUCCUAAGACCUCCGGCGCGCCACCGACAAAGCCAGCGACCGGCGCUGGAAAAUGGGGGCCGUUAGCCCCUGUCCCGCGGCGUCCUUGAGAGCCAAGACUCUCUCCACCCUUGGAAGUCGAAAAUAAAGGAGGUUCUCGGCCUCUUAGCCCGACUUGGACGACGGAGGAGAGACCCUCCGACGACUGAACCAAGACCGCUUCCAGUGAGAUCCCUUCCCUUUUAUUUCGCUUUCGAUUGUUAUUAGUUAUUUAGAAUGGAUUUGCAAAAAAUAAAAAAUAAAGAAAUAAAACAAAUGAACAAAAUCAGAAAAAAGAAAGAAAUGACAAAGAAACGAAGAAAACAAUUCAAAAUCAACCUUUUUCUUUUAUCUUGAUUUUAUUUGAUUUCAAUAUCUGUGUAUUCGUAAAAAAAGUAGAAGAAGAAUACAAUGGUUUCCUUCGGCCUUUUAUAGCCGAUUUAAAAAAGAAAUUAAAUUUCUUCUUUUGUCGUUUUGUUGUUUGGACUGUUCUUUGUUCUUGCAGGAGGUCUGACGCGCGUGAAGGGCUAGUGAUAGGCGAACGGUGGCGGCGAGCAUGCGAGGAGGUGCCUGGCAGAGCACGCGACGCUGGGAGUGGUAGACGAGGAGGCAUGCGGCGCAAAGAAAAACCAAGGUUUUCUGCUGCUAAAAUUUUAGUUUCCUGAGCUAGGUUUUUUUAUUUGGGUUUGGGCUUGAGUUUGUAAAUGGACUGUUAAUUUUGGGUUUAUUAUUUGGGUUAUUUUGUUGGUAUAGGCCCGGGCAGAUUUUGGGCUUUACAAUCUAUA
rnacentral:lncRNA from 1 species